AUUGAACGCUGGCGGCAGGCCUAACACAUGCAAGUCGAGCGAGCGUCGGACGGGUGUGUACUGUAUGGGGACUGCCCGAUAGAGGGGGAUAACUCCUGUAAACGGUGUCUAAUACCCCAUACUGUCGGAUAACCCAUAUGGGAUUUGCUAGUAGGUAAGGUAAUGGCUUACCUAGGCGACGAUCCCUAGCUGGUCUGAGAGGAUGAUCAGCCACACUGGUACUGAGACACGGCCCAGACUCCUACGGAGGCAGCAGUGGGGAAUAUUGCACAAUGGGCGCAAGCCUGAUGCAGCCAUGCCGCGUGUAUGAAGAAGGCCCUAGGGUUGUAAAGUACUUUCAGUCGGGAGGCGGUACCGAAAGAAGAAGCACCGGCUAACUCCGUGCCAGCAGCCGCGGUAAUUG
rnacentral:rRNA from 1 species